AUUCAUGGAGAGCUUCAGCUAUUUGAAAGGUAUGAUCUAAAUCUCUUAUCUGUUUCCUACCUCCACACACGUGUUAUAUAUUCUAUAUUCAUAGAGGGUUAAUUUAUUAAUGCAUAUUUCUUACCGUCUAAUUCUUGUUCAUCAUUAAAGGAGAGUAUUAUGACCUUACUCUAUGAUCUAUCCAAACACUUACCACCAAACCAUCUGCCUACGCUACUAUCACUGGCCCAUUGUUGAGUAAGGUGAAUGACCCCAUGAAUCAUGGUUUGGUGGUAAGUGUUUGGAUA
rnacentral:misc_RNA from 1 species